rnacentral:lncRNA from 1 species
UUACAUCAAGACAAACAUACAGAUCAUUCGAAACAUUCAUAUUGUCAUAUAAGAUUAAAUUUACAUAAGUUUAGAAUUACAAUGUAUUUUGAAAAAUAUAAGAAAGAUACAUAUAAAACUCAUUAAAUAAUAGUCUAAAAAAUAUCAGGGACCGCAUUCAGCCCCAUCAUCAUCUCUGCGAGCUAUUGAAGUAUCAGGAACCUAAAAAAAAAAAAUUAGAAGUUAGGAAUAUGAAAAUCAUUAACUCAUGCAAAAUAAUAAUUAUGUAUAGUCAUCAAAUACAUAUAGUUAUUUACCUGAGGAGGGAGAAAUCGCUGUAACAUAGAUGAAAUAUGCUCAAGCUGAGACUGCAAAGUUUGUUAGUUCUGUUUNNNNNNNNNNNNNNNNNNNNGAGGGGUGGAGAGGCCAUCGGGAGGGGAGAGGAGCUCGGUUGGGGGCCAAGUGACAGAGGAAAGAACAGAGCCAUGCUCUGUUCUUGAAGGAAAAGAAUAAUAAAAAAAAAGAAGAAGAAGG